CAGGCUGCAACUCGCCUGCAUGAAGCUGGAAUUGCUAGUAAUCGCGGAUCAGCAAGCCGCGGUGAAUACGUUCCCGGGCCUUGUACACACCGCCCGUCACACCAUGAGAGUUGGAAAUACCCGAAGCCUGUGAGCUAACAGUAAUGAGGCAGCAGUCGAAGGUAGAGCCAAUGAUUGGGGUGAAGUCGUAACAAGGUAGC
rnacentral:rRNA from 1 species